CUUUGUCGAGCAGCAAUGCAAUGGUCACCGUGUGGUCCACGCCAUUUCAGGAAACUGGAACCAGAUGGAUGUAGGACUGAUUAUCCAUUUUCCAGAAGCAUGUGGUGGCAACAGCACAGAAAAACCUACAAGACAUAUUCAAAAGCAGAGAAUUGUCCUUUUAAAUAAGUAAGCAUACUGAGAGACCAGAAGGCCUUAGGAAUCUGCCACACAAUCUUCAUUCCUGGGACAGACAUUGCUUCAGCUUUCCAACUUCUGAGGAUGACAAAAGAUUAUAUAUUGCAUUGGGACUUAGUAUCUAUGAAAGAAGAUAAAAGAGAUGACACUGAGAUUCCCCAAAGUUAGAGACUGGGCAGGAAAAGACAUGCAAAGGGGAAAGGCUCACCAGUGACAACAACCUUGGGCUCCACUGGGACCUGGGAACAGAAGCAGUGUUAAGUCUACAACCAGGAGAGGAACUUGAAAAGAUCUGCCACACAUCUGCCUGCCUGGACACAAACAGGAGGUGAGACCAGCUCAAGGGCGGCCCCUAAUCACAAAAUUCUAGAAACUUCAUUCCUCUUCUUUUUUAUUCAUUUUCCACUUUCUGUUACUCUGCCAACAAUGGAAGAUGUUUCUUGUUUGUUUGUUUGUGUGACACAGGGUCUCUCUACAUAGCCCUGGCUGUCCUGGUAUUCACUCUGUAAAGCAGUCUGGCCUCAAACUCACAUAGUUCUGCCUGUCUCUGACUCCCAAGUGCUGGGAGUAAAGGUGUGCACCACCAUGCUGGCUUUGUCCACUCCCCUUAACUCUGUCACACUACCACGGGACACACAGAGGCAGGAAGGAGCAAAAGGCAAAGCUGCUUCCCUGAGGGCUUGCUCUCUUUUCUUGGGGUAUGGCAGGGCACAUACUGACCCAAGGCCCCACAGGAGAGCUAGGUAUGAAGGCAUGCAUCUGUCAGCACUUCUAAGGUGGAGGAGGACUUGAAUGAAGGCAACCCUCAGCUACAUGGCGAGUUCCAGGGUAGCCAGUUUACACAAGACACAACCAGAGCAACCAGGGUGAGUAGGGAGGGCGGCUAAUGCCAUUAGGAUGGCAAAAUUAGAACAUUCAGAGCUACACUGGACAUGCCUGGCCUGGACUGUCCAGGAAAACCCCAAUGACGUCGAUCUGAGGUCUGGACCAAGUGGGUAUUGAGUUCUGAGAAACAAGAGGGGCUUCUCUAGGAGGAUAAAGCCAUCCCCUGGCCUUAAAGGGAAAGGGGCCACUAAAGCUCAACCAAGAGAUCUUGACGUGUGGGAAUUACUCUCCAAUGAUGGGUAAAUAGGUAAAAUGGAAUAGAUUCCAAGGUGGAAAGGUGCUAAAUUGGGAGUUUCUGGGAAGAAUAGUCACUGUAUGUUUCUGAGGUUUUGUUUUCCUUCUUUGUUUGAAAAAGAACAUUGGAUCUAAUGCCACCCAUUUCCCCUCUCUCAACUCCUUUAUCUCAAACCCAACAAACACUCUGGGAGAGCCCAGAAGAACUUGCCUGUUGGAAGCCCUGUCUCUGGGGUCUUGUGAGUCAAGGAGAGAGGGCUCUUGUGCCUCACAGGACUAUUUAAAAGUCGGCCAAAGGAAGACCAGAGGCUGCUAUAAAAGGACUUUCCCUGACCGGGAAUCGAACCCGGGCCGCGGCGGUGAAAGCGCCGAAUCCUAGCCACUAGACCACCAGGGAGACUUAUGAAUACCCCAAUUGACCACUUGAAGCAAACUCCACAGAGGACACUUGACUCGCUUUCUAAAGCCGACAGGUCAGGCAUUGAGCCCACCAUCGUCAUCUCUCCCAUCCACUGCCCGGGUGAAACCAGCAGACAGCGGAGCGCAUACGGAAUCCAUUCCGUAUGCACUCCUUCGCACCAAGUGCGCCAGGAUGACACAUCUCUCCCUCCGAGUUUCGGGUUCCUCGUGGGUAAACUGUCGGUUUGACAGGGAGCACCCACCCCCACCCCGUCACCUCCAGCACUACAGCGCGCACGAUCCGAAGACCUCCAGGGACGGAUUAGGAUCGCUCCUCUCACCGUGGGCUCCAGUCAGCCUGCUCCGCGGCUGUGCUCAGGGUGAGAUCAAGGCGUCCGCGGCUGUGCUCAGGGUGAGAUCAAGGCGUCCGCGGCUGUGCUCAGGGUGAGAUCAAGGCGAAUGGACCUCAGGAGUCUCUUGGUUUUCAGACCCUGGACGCGGGUCAGCCGGGAGGGAUUUAGGUGGAGGUGAAGGAGGUGGGAUUCUGGAUCUAACGCAGAGGAGAAGGGCGCGGGCUGCAGUGUCUUGGUCUCCAGCUCACUCACAGCAGGAAGCCUGAUGGAUCCCAGCGGGGAGCAGGACCUCUGUAGUGCUCCUUAACCUCCACAUUCCCUUUCCACUCCCUCUCUUCCUGCCUCUUCCAUGUUUGUCUCUUUUAGAAAAUAAUCGUCCUGUUCUGUUGUUGAGACAGGUCUCACUGUGUAGCCCUCACUGGUCUGGGACGCGCCUUGUAGACCAGGUUGGUCCUCCAGCUCAAGGAGCUCCGAAUUCCUCUGCUUCCCGAGUGUAGUGACUAAAGCGUGCUCCACCUCCGCCCAGAAAGCCGUUUUUUUUGAGCGACUGUAACUGGUGGGAUAGCUAACAAGGUCCUGUCCAGAGAGCUUGGAACAUACGGAAUACUGCUAAGGGCUUAGAGAACAAGCUGACGAAGUCCCUGGUGGAUUUGUCACUAGGAAAGUCUUGUGUUGUAUCCAGUGAGUGCAACUCUGGCUGCUCGCAAAUCUCCAGCCACUGCGUGUCCGAGUUCUAUAGCAGCAAAGUGUUCGCCAGUGGAAGCGUGAGCCAGAAGCCUGCCAGUUUUUCCCGAGCAGGAAGACUGCGGCCCUGACGGACCCCGGGCGGGCACCGAAGGAACCCCUCGCGGAGGGACCGCGCGUCCUCCUCCUUGCGAUACCGUAUCGAGGGACUCCCGCUCUGGCCUGAGGUCCCGAAUGUCACGAAUGUUUCCCGUUCCAUAACGAAGCGGCCACAUGCUUGCACCACACAUCCCCGCUGACUCUCGGGCUCCCAUCGCCGGAGGAAUCGUCGGGUCUCGAGGUCCAAACCAAGCGGAACGGGGGCGGCCUAUGACUGUGGACCCCGGGAGGCUGCCGGGGUUCCUUCGCGCGGAGUAGGACACGGUGCAAACUGCAGACGCCGUUGUCCUGGAGUUUUUCCGAGGAUGAGCGCGUCCAGCAGCGAGAACCUAAGACGCCAUUCUCUCCCUGUCAUCCGCUCCUUGAAUAGCUCUAGCACUUGGCAGACAGAGAUUCCCACCAUUUCUGGCCUGUUUCUUGUUUGUUUGUUUGUUUGUUUCACUACCUAAUGAAUAGUAUCCAACUACACCUUGGUGAUUUGACAGUGUAAAUCCUACAGCACUUGGAGAAAGUCCACCAACCUAAAUAGCCAAUUGAAGCAAGUGUGUGUGUGUGUCAGAAGCAGAAUAUAAGCAAACAAGUUGGUCAUAAAAAAACGUCCUGAAACAAA